rnacentral:rRNA from 1 species
CACUCCUACGGGAGGCAGCAGUGGGGAAUUUUGGACAAUGGGCGAAAGCCUGAUCCAGCAAUGCCGCGUGAGUGAAGAAGGCCUUCGGGUUGUAAAGCUCUUUUGUCAGGGAAGAAACGGUGAGAGCUAAUAUCUUUUGCUAAUGACGGUACCUGAAGAAUAAGCACCGGCUAACUACGUGCCAGCAGCCGCGGUAAUACGUAGGGUGCAAGCGUUAAUCGGAAUUACUGGGCGUAAAGCGUGCGCAGGCGGUUUUGUAAGUCUGAUGUGAAAUCCCCGGGCUCAACCUGGGAAGUGCAUUUGAGACUGCAAGGCUAGAAUCUGGCAGAGGGGGGUAGAAUUCCACGUGUAGCAGUGAAAUGCGUAGAUAUGUGGAGGAACCCCGAUGGCGAAGGCAGCCCCCUGGGUCAAGAUUGACGCUCAUGCACGAAAGCGUGGGGAGCAAACAGGAUUAGAAACCCCGGUAGUCCCAUG